GGCUUCCACUGAUCGUUUCUCUGUCACUCCAAACUUAUUCAUGGUAAGAAAGAAAAACAUUAUUUAGGUGACACGCCAGAGAUGAAGUGUUCUCUGGGCUUUGGGACUGUGGUACUCUUAAUGCUUGGACAAACCCAUGGAGACUCAGUGACUCAGACGGAAGGCCAAGUGACCCUCUCAGAAAAUGCUUUCCUGACUAUGAAUUGUACUUAUUCAGCAUCAGGGUAUCCUGUCCUUUUCUGGUAUGUCCAGUAUCCCGGUGAAGGUCUGGAGCUCCUCCUGAAAGCCUUGAAGGACAAGGAGAAAGGAAGCAACAAAGGAUUUGAAGCCACCUACGAUGGCAAAGCCAAAUCCUUCCACUUGGAGAAACGCUCAGUGCAAGCAUCAGAUUCAGCUGUGUACUACUGUGCCCUGAAUGACACAGUGAUAGGGACUGUAGGGGGAGCUGAGCACAAACUCUUAGCAGAACAGGGGCCUAGAAGCUGA